rnacentral:rRNA from 1 species
GUCCACGCUGUAAACGAUGUCAACUAGCCGUUGGGAACCCUAGUGUUCUCGGUGGCGUAGCUAACGCGAUAAGUUGACCGCCUGGGGAGUACGGUCGCAAGAUUAAAACUCAAAUGAAUUGACGGGGCCCGCACAAGCGGUGGAGCAUGUGGUUUAAUUCGACGCAACGCGAAGAACCUUACCAGGUCUUGACAUCCAGAGAAGUCGCUAGAGAUAGCUUCGUGCCUUCGGGAACUCUGAGACAGGUGCUGCAUGGCUGUCGU